CUAUGUACAUGUUUAUAGCACUUCAUAGAACACACAUAAGGUCUUGUACUGCACCAACAAACUUACCUGCACAACACCUACCAGGCUAAAUAUGGAAACAGAACAGACCGGUGAUUGGGGCUGAUGUCAUCCGCCGGCCGCAGCUGAAUAAAGGCAUGGCUAAUAAUCCGCGUGGGUUUCCCCAGUUGUCCUUGCUUUUCCUCGAAUCCUGCUUCUCAGGCCAACACGGCUACCAAAUAUUUCCCUGAAACAUGGAAGAUGCCAUAUUUUAGCUGAUCUUGGAAAUAUAAACUUCAUUGCUGAACAAGAAGGAAAGAGUUUUUGAGCCUCCCUGCCUUUCUGACAUCUGACACCUCCAGGGAUGACAACAGUCUUAUCUACAAAGCGAGGAGCAACUUACAAAGGACUCUCAGGGAGCCAAGGGAACAGACACCCAGCCUCAAAAUACUUCUGUGCAAAAUGAAGUUUGUAUUCUACCUAAGGGGAUUUUUCCAAUCUUGGAUGUGUCCUCAGCCUCAACAAGGGUGCGUGUGUCUGAAAGCUUGCAAAUAAAGAUUGUUUGGGGUUUUUUUUGCAAUUUCUCAGUUGCUUUAAUAAAAGGUAUCAUCUCUGAACCAAGA